CUGCGAACAUUCUCUGAUAAUUUAUAAUUUGUAUAAAAUUAAAUUAGAUUAAUAAUUAGUAACAAAUGAUUUCUUAAAAAUGAUUUAUUUAUAGAAUUAACAUGAAAAUAAUAAUAUGAUUUAUAUAAGAGAUGAUAUAUUGACAAAUAAUCAUUUAAAAUUAUAUAUGAGAUUUUUAUAUAUUAAAAAAAAGAAAAUAAAAAACAUUAUGCUUUUUAAAAUAAGACGAAGUUAGUUAAGUAAUUUUAUUUGUAAAAUUUUAUAGUAGACAAUAGAGUAGUGGAGAGUGUAGUAUAUAAUGACGUGUCAUUUAUUAUUGGAAGAGUGCAAUGUUACAAGUUGUUAUAAUAAGGGACGUUUGAGUGAGGGUACUGUGAGUGUUGUGAGUGUUGCUGGGUGAAAGGGUACUACCUCCAUUAUGCAGGCUAUUUUCUUUUGUUACUUUGUUUUUUUAUAUCAAUGAAUUAAUUUAAGUUUGUUGUUGAUGGUAUGUGCAGAGAUCAGUGAGAACUUCUCCUCAUUUUGUUGAACCUACACACUGUUUGUUUCUCCGUUCUCAGGUAAUCCCCGUUCUUUUUCUUUUUUUUAAAUUUUUUUAUUUGAUUUUUUAUAUAUAUCAAAACUCAAACACAGAGAAAUGCACAAAUGAAACAAUUCAUUACUAAUCAUCAAAGUUCAUUGCUACUAAACAUAACGUAAGUAGCAAUAACUUCGUAUAUUAUAUAUACACGAAAAACAAUUUUCUACAUCUUAUUAUUUUUGGAUUGGAUGAAUCUAAAUUAUACUGCGACAUUCUCUGAUAAUUUAUAAUUUGUAUAAAAUUAAAUUAGAUUAAUAAUUAGUAACAAAUGAUUUCUUAAAAUGAUUUAUUUAUAGAAUUACAUGAAAAUAAUAAUAUGAUUUAUAUAAGAGAUGAUAUAUUGACAAAUAAUCAUUUAAAUAUAUAUGAGAUUUUUAUAUAUUAAAAAAAGAAAAUAAAAAACAUUAUGCUUUUUAAAAUAAGACGAAGUUAGUUAAGUAAUUUUAUUUGUAAUUUUUAUAGUAGACAAUAGAGUAGUGGAGAGUGUAGUAUAUAAUGACGUGUCAAUUUAUUAUUGGAAGAGUGCAAUGUUACAAGUUGUUAUAAUAAGGGACGUUUGAGUGAGAGGGUACUGUGAGUGUUGUGAGUGUUGCUGGGUGAAAGGGUACUACCUCCAUUAUGCAGGCUAUUUUCUUUUGUUACUUUGUUUUUUUAUAUCAAUGAAUUAAUUUAAGUUUGUUGUUGAUGGUAUGUGCAGAGAUCAGUGAGAACUUCUCCUCAUUUUGUUGAACCUACACACUGUUUGUUUCUCCCGUUCUCAGGUAUCCCCCGUUCUUUUUCUUUUUUUUAAAUUUUUUUAUUUGAUUUUUAUAUAUAUCAAACUCAAACACAGAAGAAUGCACAAAAUGAAACAAAUUCAUUACUAAUCACAAAGUUCAUUGCUACUAAACAUAACGUAAGUAGCAAAUAACUUCGUAUAUAUAUAUAUAACACGAAAAAAACAAUUUUCUACAUCUUAUUAUUUUUGGAUUGGAUGAAUCUAAAUUAUACUGCGAACAUUCUCUGAUAAUUAUAAUUUGUAUAAAAUUAAAUUAGAUUAAUAAUUAGUAACAAUGAUUUCUAAAAAUGAUUUAUUUAUAGAAUUAACAUGAAAAUAAUAAUAUGAUUUAUAUAAGAGAUGAUAUAUUGACAAAUAAUCAUUUAAAAUUAUAUAUGAGAUUUUUAUAUAUUAAAAAAAAGAAAUAAAAACAUUAUGCUUUUUAAAAUAAGACGAAGUUAGUUAAGUAAUUUUAUUUGUAAAAUUUUAUAGUAGACAAUAGAGUAGUGGAGAGUGUAGUAUAUAAGACGUGUCAAUUUAUUAUUGGAAGAGUGCAAUGUUACAGUUGUUAUAAUAAGGGACGUUUGAGUGAGAGGGUACUGUGAGUGUUGUGAGUGUUGCUGGGUGAAAGGGUACUACCUCCAUUAUGCAGGCUAUUUUCUUGUACUUUGUUUUUUUAUAUCAAUGAAUUAAUUAAGUUGUUUGUUGAUGGUAUGUGCAGAGAUCAGUGAGAACUUCUCCUCAUUUUGUUGAACCUACACACUGUUUGUUUCUCCCGUUCUCAGGUAAUCCCC
rnacentral:lncRNA from 1 species